rnacentral:rRNA from 1 species
AGGGAAAGGUGAAAAGCACCCCGGAAGGGGAGUGAAACAGUUCCUGAAACCGUGUGCCUACAAGUAGUUAGAGCCCGUUAAUGGGUGAUAGCGUGCCUUUUGUAGAAUGAACCGGCGAGUUACGAUUUGUUGCAAGGUUAAGCGGAAAAAGCGGAGCCGUAGCGAAAGCGAGUCUGAAUAGGGCGCAUAAGUAACAGGUCGUAGACCCGAAACCAGGUGAUCUACCCAUGUCCAGGAUGAAGGUAAGGUAAUACUUACUGGAGGUCCGAACCCACGCACGUUGAAAAGUGCGGGGAUGAGGUGUGGGUAGCGGAGAAAUUCCAAUCGAACUUGGAGAUAGCUGGUUCUCUCCGAAAUAGCUUUAGGGCUAGCCUCGAGGUAAAGAGUCAUGGAGGUAGAGCACUGUUUGGACUAGGGGCCCUUCUCGGGUUACCGAAUUCAGAUAAACUCCGAAUGCCAUGUACUUAUACUCGGGAGUCAGACUGCGAGUGAUAAGAUCCGUAGUCGAAAGGGAAACAGCCCAGACCACCAGUUAAGGUCCCCAAAUAUAUGUUAAGUGGAAAAGGAUGUGGGGUUGCUUAGACAACCAGGAUGUUGGCUUAGAAGCAGCCACCAUUGAAAGAGUGCGUAAUAGCUCACUGGUCGAGUGACCCCGCGCCGAAAAUGUACCGGGGCUAAACAUAUUACCGAAACUGUGGAUGAACCUCUUUAGAGGUUCGUGGUAGGAGAGCGUUCUAAGGGCGGUGAAGUCAGACCGGAAGGACUGGUGGAGCGCUUAGAAGUGAGAAUGCCGGUAUGAGUAGCGAAAGAAGGGUGAGAAUC